rnacentral:rRNA from 1 species
GACGAACGCUGGCGGCGUGCUUAACACAUGCAAGUCGAACGGUGAAGCGCCUUCCUUUUUGGUGGGUGUGGAUGAGUGGCGAACGGGUGAGUAACACGUUAGUAACCUGCCCCCUUCUUCUGGAUAACCGCAUGAAAGUGUGGCUAAUACGGGAUAUUCUGGGUCUGUCGCAUGAUGGGUCUGGGAAAGAUAUUGUUUCGGUUGUGGAUGGGCUCGCGGCCUAUCAGCUUGUUGGUGGGGUGAUGGCCUACCAAGGCGGUGACGGGUAGCCGGCCUGAGAGGGUGGACGGUCACACUGGGACUGAGACACGGCCCAGACUCCUACGGGAGGCAGCAGUGGGGAAUAUUGCACAAUGGGCGCAAGCCUGAUGCAGCGACGCCGCGUGAGGGAUGGAGGCCUUCGGGUUGUGAACCUCUUUCGCCAGUGAAGCAGGCCUGCCUCGUUUGUGGGUGGGUUGACGGUAGCUGGAUAAGAAGCGCCGGCUAACUACGUG